rnacentral:sRNA from 1 species
GAAACCCACGCAGCCUCCUGGAUUCUUCCCCGUCCCUCCCUCUGUCCUGGGGCUGUGACCUCCUCCAUAUUAUUCACAGGGUCUCAGCACGAUUCAUCUCAAAGCAGCGAAACAAGCACUGGCCUCAGAAGAAGCAAUAUUAAAACAGUUACAACUCAUCUAGCUCACAGACACCCAACUGACAUGCUGUUCCUCCAGUCAUAACAACAACUACAGCUUUGAUUGAACAACAGACUGAUUUUGGUAACUUUCUCCUAAUAAAAAGAUCACUAUGGACUGCCUCUGGUGGGGUUACGAAACCGCAACCUCAUGUGCCUGCAUUUCCUGAAAAGACAUUUUGAUGUAGGAAGGGCCUGGAGUCCUGCUGCUUGCGUCUCUGGGAUACGGGAGCAAAGAGCCACGCAUCCUCAUGGCCCACACAGGCGUCACCUCCAGUCUCUCCUUGGCCUCAUCUCCCCAGCGUCCUGGAAUGGCAUCAGGCUGGCCCAGGGAGCCCCUGUCCUGUGCCUCUCCUUUCCCCUCAGGGGCUGCCAGGCUGACCACCCCCACCGCAGGCCAGGCCUACAAUGCCCCAGGGAACGUCCUGACCCUCCCCCAGGGUGGCAGCAGGAAGAAGGAAGAAAGGGGAUCCUCUCCAGCUGGCCAGAGAGACAGACCUUCUUGUGCUCAUCAACCCUCCAAGAAUGCCUGCCCUCCCUCCUUCCCCCAAGGCCUGUCCACAGGGGCUUGAGAUCAGCCAGAAAAGUCAGGCAACUUUUCAGGGACUGGGAGCGAGGUCUCCCGGCCGGGCCUGGGUCCAGUCUCUGUGGGCAGUGCAGUGCCGAGCCCCACCCCUCAAGCCAUGCCCUGUCCAUAGCUCCAGACUUUGACCCUGCUCUCCAGUCCGGGCUGGCGGACAGAGAGCUGGAAACAAGACGCUCCAGAAUCAGGAGCUUCCCCUCAGGAAAUAGCAUCCCGUGUCCCCGCACUGCAGUUGUCUGGUCUCUCCAGCAGUUUGGUACUUCCGAUGAAGAGCUUGUGUCUCCAGAGGCAAAGUAUGGGGGAAGAGGGAAGAGAGAAGACCAAGGGUCCCUGAGAGGGGCUGUCCCCUAAGCCCCAGUAUCCAAGCUCGGGCUAGAAGCUGGAAGGAGAAUUGCCUAGAG